AUUAUCUUGAUAUAAUAAAGGAGUAGAAAGUUAAGACGGUGGCUAUCUUUGAAAGGUGGUGGUGCUUAUGGAAAUAAGUGCUGAAAUCUCAGAAAGGAGAAGCCUUUUGUCAGUGACAGAAUCUUUACAAUUCAUGAUUGGUUUUGGAAGUCUUUUAAUUUUCUUAAUUAGUCUAG
rnacentral:sRNA from 1 species